rnacentral:pre_miRNA from 1 species
ACAACAUUUGGACCUUCAGUCUCACGAGCAAUAUCACCCGCUCGGUGGAAGAUCUUCCAUCCGUCGU